rnacentral:misc_RNA from 1 species
GGCCUUCUGACAUUCAUUAACUCCAUCAGGGAACCAAAAUGAUAGUUGGAAUUUGUACGAGGCCAGGCCAAAGAUUGGGAGAGGCAGCUUGGCGGACAUACCAGCAUCAAUGAUGCCUUUACUAGUAGUUGUGCCAUGCUGUUGAGGCCAGUCAGUCCUAGGAACACCACCAGAAGGUGUUGAGAGGGAAUGGUAUGUCAAAAAGCAAGCGUCAAGAUUUUGCAAUGUUGGUCCUG